rnacentral:rRNA from 1 species
UACGAAGGUGGCAAGCGUUGUUCGGAUUUACUGGGCGUACAGGGAGCGUAGGCGGUUGGAUAAGCCCCUCCGUGAAAUCUCCAGGCUUAACCUGGAAAGUGCAGAGGGGACUGUUCAGCUAGAGGAUGGGAGAGGAGCGCGGAAUUCCCGGUGUAGCGGUGAAAUGCGUAGAGAUCGGGAGGAAGGCCGGUGGCGAAGGCGGCGCUCUGGAACAUUUCUGACGCUGAGGCUCGAAAGCGUGGGGAGCAAACAGG